AUUGAACGCUGGCGGCAUGCUUUACACAUGCAAGUCGAACGGUAACAGGCCUUCGGGUGCUGACGAGUGGCGAACGAGUGAGUAAUGCAUCGGAACGUGCCCAGAGGUGGGGGAUAACGCAGCGAAAGCUGUGCUAAUACCGCAUGUGAUCUGAGGAUGAAAGCGGGGGACCAGGCAGCAAUGUUUGGCCUCGCGCCUUUGGAGCGGCCGAUGUCAGAUUAGGUAGUUGGUGGGGUAAAGGCCUACCAAGCCGACGAUCUGUAGCUGGUCUGAGAGGACGACCAGCCACACUGGGACUGAGACACGGCCCAGACUCCUACGGGAGGCAGCAGUGGGGAAUUUUGGACAAUGGGCGCAAGCCUGAUCCAGCAAUGCCGCGUGCGGGAAGAAGGCCUUCGGGUUGUAAACCGCUUUUGUACGGAACGAAAAGGCUCUGGCUAAUACCUGGGGCUGAUGACGGUACCGUAAGAAUAAGCACCGGCUAACUACGUG
rnacentral:rRNA from 1 species